rnacentral:rRNA from 1 species
UACGAAGGGGGCUAGCGUUGUUCGGAAUCACUGGGCGUAAAGCGCACGUAGGCGGAUUGUUAAGUCAGGGGUGAAAUUCCGGGGCUCAACCUCGGAACUGCCUUUGAUACUGAGGAUCUUGAGUCCGGGAGAGGUGAGUGGAACUGCGAGUGUAGAGGUGAAAUUCGUAGAUAUUCGCAAGAACACCAGUGGCGAAGGCGGCUCACUGGCCCGGAACUGACGCUGAGGUGCGAAAGCGUGGGGGAGCAAACAGG